rnacentral:rRNA from 1 species
AUGAAUCUGGUCUUGGGACACUGUCAGGUGGGCAGUUUGACUGGGGCGGUCGCCUCCCAAAAGGUAACGGAGGCGCUCAAAGGUUCUCUCAGUACGGUCGGAAAUCGUACGUAGAGUGUAAAGGCAAAAGAGAGCUUGAUUGCAAGACAUACAGGUCGAGCAAGGAUGAAAAUCGGACUUAGUGAUCCGGUGGUUCUGCGUGGAAGGGCCAUCGCUCAACGGAUAAAAGCUACCCUGGGGAUAACAGGCUUAUCUCCCCCAAGAGUCCACAUCGACGGGGAGGUUUGGCACCUCGAUGUCGGCUCAUCACAUCCUGGGGCUGUAGUAGGUCCCAAGGGUUGGGCUGUUCGCCCAUUAAAGUGGUACGCGAGCUGGGUUCAGAACGUCGUGAGACAGUUCGGUCCCUAUCCGUCGCAGGCGUAGGAAAUUUGAGAAGACCUGUCCUUAGUACGAGAGGACCGGGAUGGACGUACCUCUGGUGUACCAGUUGUUCUGCCAAGGGCAUGGCUGGGUAGCUAUGUACGGAAUGGAUAAGCGCUGAAAGCAUCUAAGCGCGAAGCCAACUUCAAGAUAAGAUUUCCCACCGCAAGGGUAAGACCCCAGAAAGACUAUCUGGUUGAUAGGUCGAAGGUGUAAGUGCAGCAAUGUAUUUAGCUUAUCGAUACUAAUAGGUCGAGGACUUGACCAA